UACGAAGGGGGCUAGCGUUGUUCGGAUUUACUGGGCGUAAAGCGCACGUAGGCGGAUUGUUAAGUGAGGGGUGAAAUCCUGGAGCUCAACUCCAGAACUGCCUUUCAUACUGGCAAUCUAGAGUCCGGAAGAGGUGAGUGGAACUCCUAGUGUAGAGGUGGAAUUCGUAGAUAUUCGCAAGAACACCAGUGGCGAAGGCGGACUCACUGGCCCGGUACUGACGCUGAGGUGCGAAAGCG
rnacentral:rRNA from 1 species